GUUCACCCGGCUUGUCGCCACCUCGACGUGGUGGUGGAGAAUUUCCGCCCCGGCGUGAUGGAUCGGCUCGGGCUCGGCUACGCGGCGCUCAAGGAAACCAAGCGCGAC
rnacentral:ribozyme from 1 species